UAAACCGUUUUCUAUUCCCGUCUUUUACUUCAAUUAAACUUUUUUAACAAUUAUGGAAGGAAUAUAGAAUGCCUAUUUAGUAUAGGCGUAAUAUAUCUUUUAAUGCCUCAUUUCUACCCAAUUUGUGGAUCUGUUAACCUAAAUAACUCUCAUUUCAUCACUUAACUCUAUUUGCUUUCUCGCACAAACUUCUGUGUUCGAUUCGGCAAAUAAAAUUUCACUCUUUUUCUCAGGUCAAUUUGAUCGGAAUGCGAUUUGUAAUUCGAUCUACUUAAACUCGUUUUCAACGCAGAUGUAGAACUCGAUUCAAAUAAUUUAAUUUUGGGAUGUCGUGUGUUCAAAUUUAGAUUUUGUUGGGGGUUCGGGAUUCUUAGUUUGAAUUCGAGGGCUUUCAAUUGCGUUAUCAUGGUAUUGGAAGCCAUUGAGGUUACAAAGAUGGGGCUUUGGAUUACAAAUAAUUUAAUUUAGGUGGUGUUGUGGUUUUGCAAAUUUCUGGGUAACAGUGUUGUAAUUUGGUAUUGUUUCUUAUUAUAAUAUUAGUAUGUUCUAUAAACUGAUUUUUUUUCCCUAGAGAUAUAGUCAAUGAUUUUAUUCUAUGUUCUUGAAAAGUAACCAAAUUAAGUUUCUCAUUCUUUUAUAUUUUCUCCAUUGCAGAUUUAAUCCAAGGACGAUGAGAAGAUUAGCAGGAAGUCAAGGAAUUCUUCAUUCUUGUUUGUAGAUGCCGAUUAAUUUAUUCAUUCUUGUAUUGGUAUUUGAAUGGAACAAUAAGAUUAAGAUGUGUUUGGAAUUGUAAUUUAAUAAGUUAUGCUUGUUUUUUUUGGCAAUUGA